rnacentral:lncRNA from 1 species
GAGAAUGGAGCCACAGUCAGUGUGGGGAGGGGACUGUGGCGAGGGGCAGCUGGGUGGCUGGAGGAUGUGCUGAAAAGGCUUCUGUGGUGGAAACAGCUCAGCUGGGUCUCUAGACGACAAGAAUCUACCCAGAGCAGAUGUAGGGAGGCAUUUCCCUAGGGGAGAAGAAACAGAUCCCAUCUGAGCGUCUGCCGUGGGUGUGAAUCGGGUGAGGAGAGCUGGGCCUGGUAAGCUGAGACUGGAAGAGGAAGAGAUGAGAGAAGUCUGAGCCUCACUUUGUUGGCAAUACUGGCCUCCAGCUCAUUUUCAGAUGUCACACGGCUCCCUGGCCUUCACUGUGCCCUGAGAUGUGGGGCAGACGCCUCCAUCUUUCAGAGAAGGAUAAAGUAAGAGGAAGUUUCUGACUCCUGACUUCAGGAUGGAGGAGCUCCGAGGUUCUCCAGGAUUCUGAACCAUCUGGCAUGAAGAGACGCGCUGGAGGAGCAGGCUGACGACUUUGGCCACCUGGCCUCCAAAUGACCUUGAACUACUGGGUCACAGCCUCAGCUGGCAGAUCUUGCCAUUGGCACCUCUAAGACACAAAAAGCAGCCUCCCUGAGGCUCCUGGGGGCUGCAGAGACCCCCGUGGCACCAGAAGCCAACACUUCCAGGCGGGGCACCUGGGUCUCUCCAAGGCCCCUUGGACAGAGAGGAGAGAUGAGUAACCACAGGCAGGGGUGGUGAGCAGGGCUGGGGAGCCCAGCAUGUGACCCACAGCAUGACUACACGUGACGCUGUUUUGGGACAUUCCAGAAGCACCCACAGGGAGCAUGCCCAGCCCCUGCUGAAACCCUUCGUCCUCCUCCCACGUUUUGUAGUAACAGAGCUUUCCCUCCCUCCGAAUCCUGCAGUCAUACAGCAUUCAGGGUCUGGAGCAAAAUCUCCACCCCAACUUCAAACAUGAUCCCCAAAAGGAGACAGGGUGACCACCAGCCUUCAGGGACGGGAUUACCUGGCCAACAUGUAGACACAUAGCCCUACAUCUCCACAGGCGACACCAAGCAAACGAGGACUCGGGCUGAAACAGGAGAGGUUGCAAGAGGCAGAAGAAAGAACUUGCUUUUUUAGAAAAAUAUACAUUUAACUUAUUUGUUUCCAACUAUACAAUGAUUUAAAGACAAACAGAAUAUUCCAAGUAGAGAAGAACAUUUUAAAAUUGCUUAGCUUGUGCAUGCAUUAAUUUGGG